rnacentral:rRNA from 1 species
AGACGCCUACGGGACGCAGCAGUGGGGAAUAUUGGGCAAUGGGCGCAAGCCUGACCCAGCAACGCCGCGUGAAGGAAGAAGGCUUUCGGGUUGUAAACUUCUUUUCUCAGGGACGAAGCAAGUGACGGUACCUGAGGAAUAAGCCACGGCUAACUACGUGCCAGCAGCCGCGGUAAUACGUAGGUGGCAAGCGUUAUUCGGAUUUACUGGGUGUAAAGGGCGUGUAGGCGGGAAAGCAAGUCAGAUAUGAAAACCAUGGGCUCAACCUGUGGCCUGCAUUUGAAACUGUUUUUUCUUGAGUACUG